rnacentral:rRNA from 1 species
UACAGAGGGGGCAAGCGUUUAUUCGGAAUUAUUGGGCGUAAAGGGCGCGUAGGCGGCUUGGCAAGUGGAAGGUGAAAUCCCUCGGCUCAACCGAGGAACUGCCCUCCAAACUGCUUGGCUUGAGACCGGGAGAGGUGAGUGGAAUUCCCAGUGUAGCGGUGAAAUGCGUAGAUAUUGGGAGGAACACCAGUGGCGAAGGCGGCUCACUGGACCGGUACUGGACGCUGAGGCGCGAAAGCGUGGGGAGCAAACAGGG